UUCGCAAUGCCCGAAAGGGUGACGAAGCGACGCCGCGUGGGUGAGGAAGGCCUUCGGGUUGUAAAGCCCUGUCAGGAGUUAAGAAAUGUAGACUCGCUAAUAUCGGGUCUAUUUGACAAAGGCUCCAAAGGAAGCCACGGCUAACUCUGUGCCAGCAGCCGCGGUAAUACAGAGGUGACAAGCGUUGUUCGGAAUUAUUGGGCGUAAAGAGCACGUAGGUGGAUUUGUAAGUCAGACGUGAAAGCCUUCUGUUCAACGGAAGAAUUGCAUCUGAAACUACAAACCUUGAGUGUAGGAGGGGAGAAUGGAACUUCUGGUGGAGCGGUGAAAUGCGUAGAUAUCAGAAGGAACGCCGGCGGCGAAAGCGAUUCUCUGGCCUAUUACUGACACUCAGUGUGCGAAAGCUAGGGGAGCAAACGGGAUUAGAUACCCCGGUAGUCCUAGCCGUAAACGAUGGGCACUAAGUAGAGGGGUUUU
rnacentral:rRNA from 2 species